UUAAGCGACUAAGCGUACACGGUGGAUGCCUAGGCAGUCAGAGGCGAUGAAGGGCGUGCUAAUCUGCGAAAAGCGUCGGUAAGCUGAUAUGAAGCGUUAUAACCGACGAUACCCGAAUGGGGAAACCCAGUGCAAUACGUUGCACUAUCGUUAGAUGAAUACAUAGUCUAACGAGGCGAACCGGGGGAACUGAAACAUCUAAGUACCCCGAGGAAAAGAAAUCAACCGAGAUUCCCCCAGUAGCGGCGAGCGAACGGGGAGGAGCCCAGAGUCUGAAUCAGUUUGUGUGUUAGUGGAAGCGUCUGGAAAGUCGCACGGUACAGGGUGAUAGUCCCGUACACCAAAAUGCACAGGCUGUGAACUCGAUGAGUAGGGCGGGACACGUGACAUCCUGUCUGAAUAUGGGGGGACCAUCCUCCAAGGCUAAAUACUCCUGACUGACCGAUAGUGAACCAGUACCGUGAGGGAAAGGCGAAAAGAACCCCGGCGAGGGGAGUGAAAUAGAACCUGAAACCGUGUACGUACAAGCAGUGGGAGCACCUUCGUGGUGUGACUGCGUACCUUUUGUAUAAUGGGUCAGCGACUUAUAUUUUGUAGCAAGGUUAACCGAAUAGGGGAGCCGUAGGGAAACCGAGUCUUAACUGGGCGUCUAGUUGCAAGGUAUAGACCCGAAACCCGGUGAUCUAGCCAUGGGCAGGUUGAAGGUUGGGUAACACUAACUGGAGGACCGAACCGACUAAUGUUGAAAAAUUAGCGGAUGACUUGUGGCUGGGGGUGAAAGGCCAAUCAAACCGGGAGAUAGCUGGUUCUCCCCGAAAGCUAUUUAGGUAGCGCCUCGUGAACUCAUCUUCGGGGGUAGAGCACUGUUUCGGCUAGGGGGCCAUCCCGGCUUACCAAACCGAUGCAAACUCCGAAUACCGAAGAAUGUUAUCACGGGAGACACACGGCGGGUGCUAACGUCCGUCGUGAAGAGGGAAACAACCCAGACCGCCAGCUAAGGUCCCAAAGUCAUGGUUAAGUGGGAAACGAUGUGGGAAGGCACAGACAGCCAGGAUGUUGGCUUAGAAGCAGCCAUCAUUUAAAGAAAGCGUAAUAGCUCACUGGUCGAGUCGGCCUGCGCGGAAGAUGUAACGGGGCUAAACCAUGCACCGAAGCUGCGGCAGCGACACUUAGGUGUUGUUGGGUAGGGGAGCGUUCUGUAAGCCGUUGAAGGUGACCUGUGAGGGUUGCUGGAGGUAUCAGAAGUGCGAAUGCUGACAUAAGUAACGAUAAUGCGGGUGAAAAACCCGCACGCCGGAAGACCAAGGGUUCCUGUCCAACGUUAAUCGGGGCAGGGUGAGUCGACCCCUAAGGCGAGGCUGAAAAGCGUAGUCGAUGGGAAACAGGUUAAUAUUCCUGUACUUGGUGUUACUGCGAAGGGGGGACGGAGAAGGCUAGGCUGGCCGGGCGACGGUUGUCCCGGUUUAAGCGUGUAGGGGGAGUGACCAGGUAAAUCCGGUUGCUUAUCAACCCUGAGGCGUGAUGACGAUGCACCACGGUGCAGAAGCAGUUGAUGCCAUGCUUCCAGGAAAAGCCUCUAAGCAUCAGGUAACAUUAAAUCGUACCCCAAACCGACACAGGUGGUCAGGUAGAGAAUACUCAGGCGCUUGAGAGAACUCGGGUGAAGGAACUAGGCAAAAUGGUGCCGUAACUUCGGGAGAAGGCACGCUGGCGUUAGGUGAAAGGACUAGCUCCUGGAGCUGAAGCCAGUCGCAGAUACCAGCUGGCUGCAACUGUUUAAAUAAAAACACAGCACUGUGCAAACACGAAAGUGGACGUAUACGGUGUGACGCCUGCCCGGUGCUGGAAGGUUAAUUGAUGGGGUCAGCCGCAAGGCGAAGCUCUUGAUCGAAGCCCCAGUAAACGGCGGCCGUAACUAUAACGGUCCUAAGGUAGCGAAAUUCCUUGUCGGGUAAGUUCCGACCUGCACGAAUGGCGUAAUGAUGGCCAGGCUGUCUCCACCCGAGACUCAGUGAAAUUGAACUCGCUGUGAAGAUGCAGUGUACCCGCGGCAAGACGGAAAGACCCCGUGAACCUUUACUAUAGCUUGACACUGAACAUUGAGCCUUGAUGUGUAGGAUAGGUGGGAGGCCUUGAAGUGUGGACGCCAGUCUGCAUGGAGCCAACCUUGAAAUACCACCCUUUAAUGUUUGAUGUUCUAACUCGGCCCCAUGAUCUGGGGUGAGGACAGUGUCUGGUGGGUAGUUUGACUGGGGCGGUCUCCUCCCAAAGAGUAACGGAGGAGCACGAAGGUUAGCUAAUCACGGUCGGACAUCGUGAGGUUAGUGCAAAGGCAUAAGCUAGCUUGACUGCGAGAGUGACGGCUCGAGCAGGUACGAAAGUAGGUCUUAGUGAUCCGGUGGUUCUGAAUGGAAGGGCCAUCGCUCAACGGAUAAAAGGUACUCCGGGGAUAACAGGCUGAUACCGCCCAAGAGUUCAUAUCGACGGCGGUGUUUGGCACCUCGAUGUCGGCUCAUCACAUCCUGGGGCUGAAGUAGGUCCCAAGGGUAUGGCUGUUCGCCAUUUAAAGUGGUACGCGAGCUGGGUUUAGAACGUCGUGAGACAGUUCGGUCCCUAUCUGCCGUGGGCGUUGGAAGAUUGAGAGGGGCUGCUCCUAGUACGAGAGGACCGGAGUGGACGAAUCACUGGUGUUCGGGUUGUCAUGCCAAUGGCAUUGCCCGGUAGCUAAAUUCGGAAGAGAUAACCGCUGAAAGCAUCUAAGCGGGAAACUUGCCUCGAGAUGAGUCUUCCCUGGGGCUUAAAGCCCCCUGAAGGAACGUUAAAGACUAUGACGUUGAUAGGCUGGGUGUGUAAGUGCAGCGAUGUAUUGAGCUAACCAGUACUAAUGAUCCGUGAGGCUUAACCUU
rnacentral:rRNA from 1 species